CCGGCGAUGAUAAAACAAACAAUUGUUAUAGCCGUUAUACUAACGCCAUAAAAACAGCUUUUUAAUUAUAAAAGUCAACUAAAUUUCGAUAGUGCGAAGUAUUCGCCCAAAUUUAUCCGGUUGUCACCACACACGUUCAUAUGUACGAGAAUGACUCUUGACUGCCCGCCAGUUCGCCACAGUCGAAAUCUGACUGGUUAGCUCACCCCAAUACAAGUACAAG